CACCGGCGGCCCGAGUGGUGAUCGUGAUUAUUGGGUCUAAAGGGUCCGUAGCCGGUUUGGUCAGUCCUCCGGGAAAUCUGACGGCUCAACCGUUAGGCUUUCGGUGGAUACUGCCAGACUUGGAACCGGGAGAGGUAAGAGGUACUACAGGGGUAGGAGUGAAAUCUUGUAAUCCCUGUGAGACCACCUGUGGCGAAGGCGUCUUACCAGAACGGGUUCGACGGUGAGGGACGAAAGCUGGGGGCACGAACCGGAUUAGAUACCCGGGUAGUCCCAGCCGUAAACGAUGCUCGCUAGGUGUCAGGCAUGGCGCGACCGUGUCUGGUGCCGCAGGGAAGCCGUGAAGCGAGCCACCUGGGAAGUACGGCCGCAUGGCUGAAACUUAAAGGAAUUGGCGGGGGAGCACAACAACGGGUGGAGCCUGCGGUUU
rnacentral:rRNA from 1 species